rnacentral:rRNA from 1 species
UGGGGAAUAUUGCACAAUGGGGGGAAACCCUGAUGCAGCGACGCCGCGUGAGCGAAGAAGUAUUUCGGUAUGUAAAGCUCUAUCAGCAGGGAAGAAAAUGACGGUACCUGACUAAGAAGCCCCGGCUAACUACGUGCC